rnacentral:rRNA from 1 species
GACGAACGCUGGCGGCGUGGAUUAGGCAUGCAAGUCGAACGGUAUCAUCCUUUCGGGGGUGAGAGAGUGGCGAACUGGUGAGUAACACGUAGGUUAUCUACCCUCAAGACGGGGACAACCCAGGGAAACUUGGGCUAAUACCGGAUGUGAGCAACUUUUAGUUGUUUGAAAGGUGGCGUAAGCUGUCGCUUGGGGAUGAGCCUGCGUCCUAUUAGUUAGUUGGUGAGGUAACGGCUCACCUAGGCAAUGAUAGGUAGGCGGCCUUAACGGGUGGUCGCCCACACUGGGAUUGAGAUACGGCCCAGACUCCUACGGGAGGCAGCAGUCGAGAAUAGUCUACAAUGGUCGGAAGACUGAUAGUGCGACGCCGCGUGAACGAUGAAUCCCUUCGGGGUGUAAAGUUCUUUUAUAUGUGAGCAGUGCUUCUUAUAUUAACAGUAUGGGGAGAGAGAUAUUAGCAUAUGAAUAAGCAACGGCUAACUCCGUGCCAGCAACCGCGGUAAUCU